ACUGAACUUGGCCCGGUCUGAACUCGAGCCUUUUGACGGCCUACCUGAGAGCUACAGAGCCGGCAUUUCUCUCCAAGAUUCUACCGAUUUCUAUUCCCUAUGGAAUAGAUUCAUAAAAAUCAAAUCCUUUCAGGUACUUCCUUCAUCUAAAGUGGUAGAGAUCUCCUUAAAAUCUUCCUGUUUUCGCUUUGAAUUCAGUGCUUUUCGGAUUCAAAAAAUGUCUGUUCAGUAAUCCAAGAACCACGCCUUCUUUCGUUCGUUUGAAUUCCUGAAGAAGAGUUUUAACGGAUAAUUGAAGUCUAAACAUUGUAAACCCCAUGAAAUCAGAUUUUUCAAGAAAUCAUUUUUAAAAAAUCUGUUUUAUCGACAGAUCGAAACAUCUCAUUUUCCAUUUCAAAUGAAGAAAUAUUGCUUUUCUUCUUCAGUUCCUAAAAUGAGUUUUGAGAGAAUGCAGGAUAUUCGCUUUGAAAAUCCGUGAACUGGGUUUUCAUGGGAAGCUCUAAUUCUCCCGCUUAUAAUCUUGGUUUUGCGAUUUUAGCUGGAGAAAACGGACUUAGUAGGACAAGAAGGGUUUCAAUCUGCACUAGGUUAUUAGAUAAAGAUGAAUCCAUGACUGCAAAAACCAAGCCUGAAAAAUAUCAUGCGCCCUUCUGUGUAAGGAGUUUCUAUUCAAGAUCUUCUAAGAAUAGUUUGAAUUACAGAAACAGUGUAUAUUCCUGCAAUUGUUAUGAUUCCCAACCAUCUUCCUCUCUAAAUUCUCUAAAUGGGUCUUUGUGGAGUGCUUCAGAGAUUGCAGCAUCAGUAAAUGGGGAAAUUGUAAAAUGGGGUCCUCCUGGAACCAUCUGCACCGAUAGUAGAAACCUGAAUUCUGGGCAGUGGUUUUUCGCCAUUGUCGGGGAGAGAUUCGACGGCCACGAUUUUGUGAGCCCAUCGUUAGACGAUAAGGGUUGUGUUGGAGUUGUAGGAAAUAAGGUUUGUGAAAAAUGGCGAAGAGGCUUCAUCAAAGUCGAGGGAAAUACCUUAAUUGCCCUCGAGAAGUUGGCGAAGCAUGCCAGGAACAGGUUCGAUGGUCAUGUGGUGGGUUUAACAGGCAGUGUAGGAAAGACCACUACAAGAACUAUGAUUGCGCUCGCACUCGAGAGCCUUGGUCAGGUCUACCAGACUCAUGGGAACCAGAACAAUCUGAUUGGAGUUGCUUUGACAUUGAUCGGGAUUCCUGCGAGUACAGAAGUGUCAGUUUUGGAACUUGGGAUGAACAGGAAAGGAGAGAUUUCGGGGCUGGCGCAGAUUUGUCGGCCUUCUGUGAGAGUAAUUUUGAAUGUGGGUCAUGCCCAUAUGGAGAAUUUCAGCAGUUUAGAGGAGGUUGCUGGAGCCAAAGGGGAGCUUUUGAUGGAGGCAAAGCCAGGUGAUGUAUGCGUGUUGAAUGCGGAUGAUCCUCCAGUUAUGAGCAUUCCGGUUCCAGCCGGAGUUAAGAAGGUGCUCUUUGGCCGAAGGUUAGGUUCUGAUGUCCGGUUGGUUUUGGCUGAAAGUAUACAUGGAGGGUCUGCAGUUCAUGUAAUUUUAGAACAUCGGGUGUUUGAAUUUGAUAAAAAUGCUUUGGUCUCUGAUGAAUGGGCUACAGAUACGGUGGAAUUUCAGAUCCACAGUCCUGGGCUUCAUUUAGCGGUCAAUGCAUGUGCUGCUGCUGCAGUUGCAGUCUCCUUGGGAGUUCCUCUUUAUCAAGUUGGAGAAUCCUUGUCAAGAUUUGAACCAGUUCACAUGAGGUCAGAGUUGGAAAUUGCUGAAAAUGGUAUCAGAAUAAUCAAUGAUGUUUACAAUGCCAACCCAACCAGCAUGAGAGCUGCUAUCGAUUUGCUCAAAGCCAUGGAUUGCAAAGGCAAAAGGGUGGCCAUUCUCGGCGACAUGCUAGAGCUGGGCGCAACAGAUGCAGAGGCACACAAGAUGGUUUUGAACAUGUGCUGCGAUGCAUCUUUUGGUUUGAUAGCAUGUGUUGGGAAAAGGUUUCAUUUGGCAGCUGAGAAUUUGAAUUUACUGGGAAAUGACAAUGUCAUGUGCGCAGUUGACUCAAAAUCCAUCGCACUCAAAGUUAGAGAAAGGUUAGCUGCUGUUGAUGUUGUUUUGGUGAAGGGUAGCCGUGCAAUGCAGAUGGAAAGAGUAGUCGAUGCUAUCAAGGACCUUAGCAUCUGAUGGGCAUUCGAGGUUCAUGGAUUUUGGGAGCUUUGCAUCAGAUGGCCUCUUUUAUUUCGAUUACCGGGUUGAUCCCCCAAAGGACUUUGCUAUAAUGAUGUGAGAACUACCAAAAUUGGCUCUAAGAGAGAUCUGAAAAUUCAGAUGAAGAUGCAAGGAAAGGGAGUUAUGGACCACUCUUCUCAUAGAGUCCCUUUAAGGCAAGCAAAACAGAAAUCUCUCUUUAUUGAGAUCCUUCUUCGGUCGACCCAAAUAUAGGCAUGGAACUUUCAAACAUCUGAAACCUGUUCCAACCAUAAAGGAAUCUGAAACCCACUUCAAGUAAUGGCUGAAAUCUGUCCCCAGUCAAAGCUGGCAUCUACAGUGACCUCAUAUCAUUCAAAUCCAAGCAAACCCAUGGAUGAAAGCAGGUCCUUCCUAACAUUAAACUAUAACCAACCUUAAUCCUUAGUAUGUCUCAACAACUCGAAACAUUGAAACACCUCAAUGUCAAUGCUGUGCCAGGUAUUGUACGCUUCUCAACCAGCCAAGAGGAAUUAUAUGAUUUUUCAGCCCCCAAUAUCUGCACAGCAUACUCAGACUUCAUUUUGUUGAAGUGGAACCCUAAUCAGACUGUUGGUCUGCUGGACCACGAAGUGGAGAGACCAAGGCCCAAAAAUCUCCUCGAUUGGAAGAUUCUAGCCACCAUUCUUGGGCCUUUUUUUAGUUAAACAUAGACCGUUGCCAUGUUUUCUCAUAUGAAUUGUCCAUGUAAAGGCCCCUAAUAGAAAGCUUAGGACUGUCUUCUUGAGGAGGCUUUGGGGUAUGGUUCAUCCACGGCAGGGCCCCACGGGCCUCUGGACACUAGAUGGGUCCCACUUGUACUAACUGAAAAACCAGGGGUAGAUCGUACAUACCCUCAAAUCUAGGAUCGAAUAGUCCCUUUCCUGCUAAUGCACCUAGGAACUUUCAAGAAUGGGAAUGCUUCAUAAAAGCUUGAGGGAGGGACUACUCAUACAAAUGAAGCAGCAUAAUUACUCAUAUAAUUGAUGUAGCAUACUUAACAAAAA